rnacentral:lncRNA from 1 species
GAGGGCACGAAGUGGUAUUGAUCAGCCCGAAGAACAGGAGGUGCACAACGGGACUGCUAAGAAAAUGAAAUAUGAACCGUGAGCAAUAAAAUGAAAUAUUUUGUGAUCAAGAAUUAUUAUCGUUAAUUUUUUUUAAUUUAUGAUUAAUUUGUAGUUGAUAAAUCACAAGGGAUUUUGUGAUUAAGAGAAAUAUUAUCGUUAAUUUUUUUAAUUUAUGAUUGACUAAUUUGUAGUUGAUAAAUCACAAGGGAUUUUGUGAUUAUGAAAAUAUUAUCGUUGAUUUUUUUU